rnacentral:misc_RNA from 1 species
UCUCCGUUGGUUAACCUGCGGAGGGAUCAUUAUAGAGUUUUCUAAACUCCCAACCCAUGUGAACUUACCUUUUGUUGCCUCGGCAGAAGUUAUAGGUCUUCUUAUAGCUGCUGCCGGUGGACCAUUAAACUAUUGUUAUUUUAUGUAAUCUGAGCGUCUUAUUUUAAUAAGUCAAAACUUUCAACAACGGAUCUCUUGGUUCUGGCAUCGAUGAAGAACGCAGC